AAUCCUGAUGACAAUUCUGAAAUGGAUACAACUACUACUAUGUAUCCUUCUUUCACUAGUGAGGAAAUUGAGAUUUGGAAUUGAGAAGUGAAGAGCUUUGCUGGAGUCACACAGGUGGGAAGUUGAGAGCCAGGACUUCAACCCAGCAAAUCUCCUAACUCCAGAGAGAAUGAUUAGCUGCUUCCCAGUGUUUAUCUCCAUGUGGAAAAUUCCAACAUCAUAGGUUGAAAUCAACUCAGGAUAUGGAGUUGCGAUCAUGUCAUCAGAUGUUAACUUUAGAGUCAAGAAAACUUUUAAGCUAUUUACAGCUUUUAACAAUUAAGUAUGUUCCUACAAACAAAAUUUGGAGCAUAUUUAUUUCUCUCUACUGAUUUCUCCAGAAUUUGUAAACUAUUUGAAUCAAGCUUGACUUAUGGAGACAAUAAAAGUCCCUUGGAAAAACUGGCCUCAUACCUUGGUCUACAUAGCUCCUGAUCUGCGGUAGGUAAAGAAUGUCACUUUCUGACAGGUUCAGGAGCCCUAGGUUUAUCUUGGAAAGUCAAGAGGAGAAGAUCACCCAACUUGUAGGUAUUUAAUGACACAAAUCCAUGGCUGGGCUUGGCUUUAAAAAAAAGUCUUAUCUGAGAUUCCUUCUAUGGAAUAGAGUUCCAUCAAAGCCAAUUUAAAAACCUAUGCAAAAAAAAUAAUUAUUCUUGCUGCACUGUAUACAAAUAAUCAGGCCAAGUGUAAUAAAACAAAUCAGUUCUGCCAGGAUUUGCCUUUAGUAAAAAUGGGAAACUGGAGAGAGAAAAACUAUGUUUCAAAAACUAUAGUAUACCUGUUUUUAGAUUCUAGUCUUGCCUAACAUUUUUCAAUUUUUAUUUUUUUCUAGUUUAAACCUAAUUCUAAUUUUUCUUAACUACAAGUCUUCAAAAUAAUGUUUUCAAUUUUUUUCUGCUCUUUUUCCCCAUUAUUCCUAAUUUGGAGUCACUGAAAACUAAACUGCUUUUGUAAAGCCCUAUGAACUGAAGCUAGACAACUUAAACUUCAGAAGAAAAUAACAGCAACCUAUUUACAUGCAUAAGCUACUUUCAUACCUGCCUACUGAAGGCUUCAGAGUAAUGUGGCCUAUAUCAAUUUUCUAGGAUUGUCCUUUUGUUUGCUGCUGUUUUUCUCCCUUCCUCUCCCUAUUUUCUCUUCACAGGACAUGAGACUUCACAACCUUCCAAAAAUGAGCUUUCCUAAUAACUUGAAAGCAAUGAAGAGAGAGAGUCUGAAGUGAUUAUGAAAAGAAUAUUGAGCAAGAAGAGGAACUUCUUGAGUAAGAAGUGGAACUGAGAGGUGCUCAUCAUGACAUUUAAAUAUUUCCUGAGAAUUCUCAGAAAUAUUAGGGUUUCAGUGGCCCUGGUUCCCCAUGACAAAAGUACAAAGAGUACCCGCAAGAAGUAAGUUGAAGAUAAGGAGUGAGGAGAAGGAAGGUUAGUGGUAAGGCCACCAGUGAUUCUAACAGCAAAGGGACAAGAAAAAAGACUGGAACUUUAUUUAGAGGAUAAAGCUGAUGCCUGGCUUGCCAUCUUGCCCAGAUGGGACCUCAGGCAUAGGUUCCUAACUGUGAAUAUCCUGAUUUUGAAGAAAACAGUAGAUUAAUUUCAACUGCUGGCAGCUUUCACUUGACCUUGCAAAGGUUACAAUUAUCCAGAAAUCUCAUACCUAUGAGGGAAGCCAACUUCUGUGUCAUGAGGACAUUCAAGCAGCACUAUGGAGCCAUCCAUGUGGCUAGGAGCUGAAACUGAGCCAAGAAGCAGUGAGGAACUGGCUGGUAACAGCCAUGUGGGUAAAAGCCAUCUGAGAAGUGCAUGCUCUAGUCUCAGUCAAGCCUUCAGAAGACUGUGGCACCUGACAUCUCCACUGCAACCUCAUUAGAAACUCAAGACAGAACUGCCAGAGAAGCUCUUCCUGAAUUUCUGACCUACAGAAACGGAAGAAAUUGUGUUUUGGAAUUGGGCCAACAGUAUGUGUUUCUCCGGUGGAUAAGCAAAAUUUCAUAAGAACAAAGAUGAUUCAAGCAGAUGUUUAUCAUGAAACUGCCAUAAAAAGCACCCGAAGUCACAAAGAUAAACAUCAAAUCCAGUCCUUGGAAAUUUCCCCCACCCUACCUGAGCAUCUUUUGAAGUAGAUAUUCAAUUAUUUUGAAGGAUUUUUAAAGAAUUUUCUAGAUUUCAUCUAAAAGACACUUUUGAAAUCUGCGUUAAAAUUCAUGGAAAUAUAUCCUAGAUGAAUUUGGAGGAAUGUAAGCAAGUAGGUACAAACCUUUAUUUUAUCCCUCAGUGACUCACUCAGUUGUGAAUAGGAAGGGCUCUCUGUGAUCUGGCCACAGCUUAUUUCUUGCCACAUUCCUAUUUUCAGUCCUCUUCCAAUCAUGUGGAACUUCCAGCAUCUCCUUACACAUGCCAUGUUAUUUCACACUUUUGUGACUUUGCUCAUAUUUUUCUCUCUCCCUGGAAAGCUCCCCGACAACCUCCACUGCCAUUACCCACUAGGCAAGUACAUCCUGUUUUCAGAAUCAGCCCAAUAUCAUCUUUCCUAGGGAAUCUUGUCAGACUGCCCUUCAUUACCAACAGACAAAAUAACUACCUUAUCUUUGGUUCUGUCUUCACUCUAGACCUAUGUAGCAUGCUACUUAUAACACUGCAUUGGUUUGUUGGCAUUUGUAUUUUCCACUGAGCAACCAUAACUUAUGUGUAGACAAAAAUUGUAUUGCUCACCUUUGGAUUACUAGGACCUAGCAGUGUUCUGAUUCAGAGUAUGUACUCAAUAAAUUCAUCUUGAAAAGUGAAUGAAUGAAUAAA